AACGAACGCUGGCGGCGCGCCUAACACAUGCAAGUCGAACGAGAAGGCGUAGCAAUACGCUUGUAGAGUGGCGAACGGGUGAGUAAUACGUGGGUGACCUACCCUCGAGUGGGGAAUAACCCGCCGAAAGGCGGGCUAAUGCCGCGUACGCUUCCGUCCUCACGGGGACGGAAGGAAAGCUGUACCGUGAGUACGGCGCUCAAGGAUGGGCUCACGUCCUAUCAGCUUGUUGGUAGGGUAACGGCCUACCAAGGCUACGACGGGUAGCUGGUCUGAGAGGACGAUCAGCCACACUGGCACUGCGACACGGGCCAGACUCCUACGGGAGGCAGCAGUGAGGAAUAUUGCGCAAUGGGCGAAAGCCUGACGCAGCGACGCCGC
rnacentral:rRNA from 1 species